GCCGACGCUGAUGUCUGGAACCUUCUCUGCUUAACACGCUUUCUGGUGGAGAAGAAACCAUGAAUAUUUUGUUUGUUCUGAUAUUUUUAGCGUGGUUACCGGAUGCCUUCAGUGCAUGGGUAGAACAGACACCAAGAGAAACAACAAAACAAACAGGCGAAAAUCUGAACAUCAAAUGUGUUUUAAAAAAUGCUUCCUGUGACCUGAAUAGCACAUAUUGGUACCGCCAAAGACCCGGUCAAACCAAUAAUGAAAGCUUAUCGAUUGGAGGACGAUAUGCAGAAUCUGUCAACAAGACAGCAAAGUCCUUUUCCUUGCAGAUCACGAAUCUAAUUGCUGAAGACACAGCAACGUAUUUCUGCCAUGCUCUCCACUACCACAGUAACAAAGUUGAGCACAAGCCUAUUCAAAUACGUUGGAAAAUCUUUCACGCGAGAAACUAUGAAUGCUUCGGUCUUUUGGGGAAGAAAAUUGCUGAGCAGGAAAGUCUGAAUGUAUCAGUCCCUUCACCCUUCUUUAUUAUUAAAUUGAAAUCAUUGCUAAGUUUCAGGUUCGUCAUCAAUAAAUCAUCCCCUCAAUUUUGUGUUCUAGGUUUCGCAUUGUUACUCAGAGAUCCUACCGUUGAAGAAAUGUGGAUAAACAAAACUGCCACACUGGUGUGUGAAGUGAUCGCCACAACUCCAGCUGAGGUUUCCAUCUCCUGGACAGUGGGUGGAAAGAAAAGGGCUGAUGAUGUUCAAACAGGACAGGCAACAAAGAUUGGAAGCCAGUACAUGACAGUCAGCCGUUUGACCAGCAGCGUUGCCGAGUGGGACAGCGGGGUAGAAUACUCCUGCUCGGUGGAGGACGAUCAAUUAGAUACUCCGUUAUCAAAACGGACACGAAACACAAAAGCCAAACCAUUGGAACCAAAGGUACGCCUCUUGCCACCGUCUCCAGAGGAGACUCAAACUACAAGUAUCGCUAUACUCACAUGCAUGAUAACGGGAUUCUACCCCGAUGACAUAACCGUUUUGUGGCAGAAGGACGGAGCCGCGUUCUACUCGAACGCGAGCAGCUUCUCAACGGCACUUCAACAGGACAUGACCUUCAGCACGAGAAGCCUCCUUUACUUGACUGAAGCCGAUUGGAAGAAGGACGCAAGAUACUCCUGUGUCGUCACGCACCCACCUUCAAAGUCUACUGUGAAAGCAAACAUCAGGACCCCGAAAGAAGAAUGCCGUGUGGCUGACAUUAAUGCCAUCAUAAAAAAGCCUUCCUUUGAAGAGAUUUGGAUGCUUCGGAGGGCAACAAUUGUGUGCGAAGUGGUUUACACAGAUUUACAUGACGUCACAGUCUCCUGGCGAGUAAAUGGGAGUCGGAGAAUGAACGGAGUAGAGACUCGCGGUCCAGAGUGGAGGGGAAGUAAAUCCGUCAUCAUCAGCAAACUGAAGAUCAGUGCAGAGGAGUGGAACAGUGGAACUGAAUGCCUGUGCUUUGUAGAAUACCGUGAUCUGCCAACACCACUGAAAACCGCCACCAAAAAGUCCAAGGUUACUGAAAUGCACCUCCCUAAAGCCUACCUCUUGUACCCAUCAGCUGAGGAGAUUCUAGCCGAGGAAGCAGCUACCCUAAUUUGCCUGGUGACCGGUUUUUAUCCGGAAGAUAUAUACGUCGGUUGGAUGGCUAAUGACACCCUUUUGCAUUCGGGAUUCUCCAUCCAGUUUAACAGCGAUAAGGAAAACGGCUCUAACUCGGUCACCAGCAAACUGAGGAUCAGCGCAGAAGACUGGGAGAAGGGAACCACCUAUAGCUGUUUGGUUGGACAUCCGUCGCUACAAACAAAUAUAGUCAGAAGUAUUAAUAAAUCGCGGGGUAAACCUACUUUAGUUAACGUGUCAGUUCUUCUAACUGACAGCUUUAAAUCGUGCGUCUAAUCAUCCUUGAUUUGAUGACUAAUAGCUUGGAAGUGUUUCUUUUUUACUGCGUAGCUGUUUGAUUUUCCGAUUUGCUGAUUUACUGUAGAACACGCAUAGCAUUCGCUCUUCGGAUUAUCACACCGUAAAUGAAAUAUUCCAUUAAUUUCAUCUGUUCGAUAACAUUGUGAUGAGCUCUCGAUAGCAUUAGAAUAUUUUUAACCUUACGCUGAUUCUGAAAAUGUAGUGCUUUUGAGAUGCUAGCAAGUCGCGGAAUAGAUAGCAGAUAGCGAUUUAUUC